UACAGAGGUCUCGAGCGUUAGGCGGAAUCACUGGGCUUAAAGCGUGUGUAGGCGGAUUGGUAAGUACUUUGUGAAAUCCCACGGCUUAACCGUGGAACUGCUUGGUAUACUGCCAGUCUUGAGCCAGCUAGGGGCUACCGGAACAAAUGGUGGAGCGGUGAAAUGCGUAGAUAUCAUUUGGAACGCCAAUGGUGAAAACAGGUAGCUGGGGCUGUGCUGACGCUGAGACACGAAAGCCAGGGGAGCAAACAGG
rnacentral:rRNA from 1 species